rnacentral:lncRNA from 1 species
AUCUUCCUCGCGGUGGACAUCUUGUCGGCUCUUAGGUGGAACCAUCGGAGCAGAAGCUCGGGGUUGCUGGGCGGUUCCGAGGUGACGGAAGCGGGAGGGUGCGGGAGAAGUCGCUGUUCGCUCUGCGGAGUGGCUCGCCAGCGAAGACCCCGCCUGCGCCCCCGGGGACGGACGACCGCGGUGCCAGGGUCCCGCGACCUGGGACCCCCUCGCGGCUCCGGGUGGUCUACGAACUGUGAUGGCGGCGGCCGCGGUGAUGGGCCCGGCGCAGGUUGUUGGCAUGAAGUGAAGGAUGAAGAGUCAUCUUCUGAACAGAGCAUUUCUAUAGCAGUGUCACAUGUUAAUACUUCCAAGGCAGGUUUGCCCGCACAGACGGCUCUCCCUUGUGACAUAUGUGGCCCCAUCUUGAAAGAUAUUUUGCACCUGGAUGAACACCAGGGUACACACCAUGGACUGAAACUUCACACAUGUGGGGCAUGUGGGAGACAAUUCUGGUUCAGUGCAAACCUUCAUCAGUACCAGAAGUGUUACAGUAUAGAGCAACCCUUAAGAAGGGAUA